rnacentral:tRNA from 1 species
GGGCUCGUGGUCCAGUCAGGAUAAGACGCCAAGCCGAUCAGCUGGAGGUCGGGGGUUCAAAUCCCACCGAGCCCGCCA